GAUGAACGCUGGCGGCGUGCCUAAUACAUUUAAGUCGAGCGAACAGACGAGGAGCUUGCUCCUCUUACGUUAGCGGCGGACGGUUUAUUAACACGUGGAUAACCUACCUAUAAGACUGUGAUAACUUCGGGAAACCGGCGCUACUACCGUAUAAUAUAUUUAUCCUCAUGUUUCAAUAUUGAAAGACUGUUUUUCUGUCACUUAUUGCUUGAUCCGCGCCUCAUUAGCUAGUUGGUAAGGUAACGGCUUACCAAGGCAACGAUGCGUAGUCGACCUUAGAGGGUGAUCGGCCACACUGGAACUGAGAAACGGUCCAGACUCCUACGGGAGGCAGCAGUAGGGAAUCUUCCGCAAUGGGCGAAAGCUUGACGGAGCAACGCCGCGUGAGUGAUGAAGGUCUUCGGAUCGUAAAACUCUGUUAUUAGGGAAGAACAAAUGUGUAAGUAACUAUGCACGUCUUGAAGGUACCUAAUCAGAAAGCCACGGCUAACUAAGUG
rnacentral:rRNA from 1 species